CCGUUCGAUCACCGAAGUUAAGCAAGGUUGAGACUGGUCAGUACCUACAAGAUGGGUGACCGCUUGUGAAUACCAGGUGCUGUAAG